UACAGAGGGUGCGAGCGUUGUUCGGAAUUAUUGGGCGUAAAGCGCGCGCAGGCGGUCCUUUAAGUCUGAUGUGAAAGCCCACGGCUCAACCGUGGAGGGUCAUUGGAAACUGUCGGGCUAGAGUCCGGAAGAGGCGAGUGGAAUUCCCGGUGUAGCGGUGAAAUGCGCAGAUAUCGGGAGGAACACCAAUGGCGAAGGCAGCUCGCUGGGACGGUACUGACGCUGAGACGCGAAAGCGUGGGGAGCAAACAGG
rnacentral:rRNA from 1 species